UUUGUGUUGUUGUAGCCGCAGCCUGGUGGUCUGGUGGACUAUGGUGGUAAGUAUAACUGUGCAGGGCAUCGGUGUUGUCGGCCUCGUAAUAUUGCAAUUCGUAUGUACGCUACAAGUAGUGUGUUGGGGGUGGUGUUGUUGUAGUCUGCUUGUGUUGUGUCUGACUGUCGUGUCGCCUGCGCAAAGUGGGCCCGGCUGUGGCGCAAUAUAAGGUAGGUUGCCAAUAUUGCCUUCUCAGUGCGAGUUGUAGUGGGCCAAAUAAUCAGUGGUGUAGUGGUAGACGAGCUACCCGACCCGUCUUGAAACACGGACCAAGGAGUUUAACAUGUAUGCAAGUCAUGGGGUCUUACGAAACCCAAAGGCGCAGUGAAAGUGAAGCUUCGACUUGUUCUCGAAGUGAGGUGAGAUCCUGUCGUUUCUCACGCCGAGCUAAUCAGCAUCAGGUUAAGAGCGGCAGGCGCAUCACCGGCCCGUCCCAUGAUGUGGUCAUUGGAUGUCUGCAGUUGUUGCUACUCUUGUGGUGGUGGCGGCUGUGGUGCCAGUGCAUCAUCGGGGCGGAGCAUGAGCAUACAUGUUGAGACCCGAAAGAUGGUGAACUAUGCUUGCGUAGGUUGAAGCCAGAGGAAACUCUGGUGGAGGACCGCAGCGAUUCUGACGUGCAAAUCGAUCGUCAAACGUGAGUAUAGGGGCGAAAGACUAAUCGAACCAUCUAGUAGCUGGUUCCCUCCGAAGUUUCCCUC
rnacentral:rRNA from 1 species